rnacentral:rRNA from 1 species
UCAGGAUGAACGCUGGCGGCGUGCCUAAUACAUGCAAGUCGAACGCUUUGUGGUUCAACUGAUUUGAAGAGCUUGCUCAGAUAUGACGAUGGACAUUGCAAAGAGUGGCGAACGGGUGAGUAACACGUGGGAAACCUACCUCUUAGCAGGGGAUAACAUUUGGAAACAGAUGCUAAUACCGUAUAACAAUGACAACCGCAUGGUUGUUAUUUAAAAGAUGGUUCUGCUAUCACUAAGAGAUGGUCCCGCGGUGCAUUAGCUAGUUGGUAAGGUAAUGGCUUACCAAGGCGAUGAUGCAUAGCCGAGUUGAGAGACUGAUCGGCCACAAUGGGACUGAGACACGGCCCAUACUCCUACGGGAGGCAGCAGUAGGGAAUCUUCCACAAUGGGCGAAAGCCUGAUGGAGCAACGCCGCGUGUGUGAUGAAGGGUUUCGGCUCGUAAAACACUGUUGUAAGAGAAGAAUGACAUUGAGAGUAACUGUUCAAUGUGUGACGGUAUCUUACCAGAAAGGAACGGCUAAAUACGUGCCAGCAGCCGCGGUAAUACGUAUGUUCCAAGCGUUAUCCGGAUUUAUUGGGCGUAAAGCGAGCGCAGACGGUUAUUUAAGUCUGAAGUGAAAGCCCUCAGCUCAACUGAGGAAUUGCUUUGGAAACUGGAUGACUUGAGUGCAGUAGAGGAAAGUGGAACUCCAUGUGUAGCGGUGAAAUGCGUAGAUAUAUGGAAGAACACCAGUGGCGAAGGCGGCUUUCUGGACUGUAACUGACGUUGAGGCUCGAAAGUGUGGGUAGCAAACAGGAUUAGAUACCCUGGUAGUCCACACCGUAAACGAUGAGUGCUAGGUGUUUGAGGGUUUCCGCCCUUAAGUGCCGCAGCUAACGCAUUAAGCACUCCGCCUGGGGAGUACGACCGCAAGGUUGAAACUCAAAGGAAUUGACGGGGACCCGCACAAGCGGUGGAGCAUGUGGUUUAAUUCGAAGCAACGCGAAGAACCUUACCAGGUCUUGACAUCCCUUGACAACUCCAGAGAUGGAGCGUUCCCUUCGGGGACAAGGUGACAGGUGGUGCAUGGUUGUCGUCAGCUCGUGUCGUGAGAUGUUGGGUUAAGUCCCGCAACGAGCGCAACCCUUAUUACUAGUUGCCAGCAUUYAGUUGGGCACUCUAGUGAGACUGCCGGUGACAAACCGGAGGAAGGUGGGGAUGACGUCAAAUCAUCAUGCCCCUUAUGACCUGGGCUACACACGUGCUACAAUGGCGUAUACAACGAGUUGCCAACCCGCGAGGGUGAGCUAAUCUCUUAAAGUACGUCUCAGUUCGGAUUGUAGGCUGCAACUCGCCUACAUGAAGUCGGAAUCGCUAGUAAUCGCGGAUCAGCACGCCGCGGUGAAUACGUUCCCGGGUCUUGUACACACCGCCCGUCACACCAUGAGAGUUUGUAACACCCAAAGCCGGUGGGGUAACCUUCGGGAGCCAGCCGUCUAAGGUGGGACAGAUGAUUAGGGUGA